AAUACAGGUUCUCAAAACAGGAACUACAAAGGCAGUUUCAGCCACUCACUACUAGCUAUAAGUGAUGCUAAUUACAAGUUUCUCUAUGUCGAAGUUGGCCAUUACGGCAGUGAAUCUGAUGGUGGUGUUUUCGGGCGUAGCAAGCUGCUAGAGUUGAUCGAAGCCAGUAAAAUGGGAAUUCCUAGAGACUCCGAGAUAGGCAACAUUGGUGCCAUGCCAUAUUUUUUCGUGGGCGAUGAAGCGUUUCCUUUGAAAACCUUUAUGAUGAGGCCUUAUUCUCGGAAAUCCCUUCCAUCCUUGUUCAGUGACACAUCUGAUGAUCAUCAGGCUUUUGAAGAGCGGCACAAGAAAAGAAUUUUUAACUAUCGACUCAGCCGAGCACGAAGAGUUGUUGAAAAUGCCUUUGGCAUUAUGGCUCAAAGGUGGCGCAUCCUUCGACGGCCUUUUAAAGCAAAGGAAGAAAACAUUCGUAAAAUUGUGUCUGCUUGUGUAACACUACACAAUUUUUUGUUGUGCGAGUCUCCUGCAUCUCGGGCAGCAUAUUGUCCACCUGGCAGUGCCGACACCGAGGAUUGGCAAGGGCAGCUCACUGAGGGCAACUGGAGAGCUGAAGGAGGCACAGGGAAUGCUCUGUCUGCAAUAAGCAGCUCAGGCUGUCGCUCAACCCGGUAUUGGUGAUAUAAAAAUAUUGUAUAUGUUAUAUCCUUGUGCAAUAUAAAAAGUGAAUUUAUAAGUGUUUAAAACAUCACGAAAAGCAUUAUCUGCUCAUAACUGAAUCUAGGUGCAACUAAAAGAACUUUCUCCCGACAUAUAGCUGCACUUUUAUGCAUC
rnacentral:lncRNA from 1 species